CUGAGAGCGGGUUUGACAGCUGAAAUACGAAAUAAUGUGGCGAAAUUGCAAUAAAUUAAUUUUGUUAUCAGUUCGUUGGAAUUUGUAUGAUUUGAAGAAAGUACCCGAAUGCUUGCUGUUGAAAACCCAGCGGACAGCUAGCCCCAGAGCGCCGCCAGCGCAGCCGUACAGCUCGAUGGCGACCCCGGCGUGCCCCGAGCGGGCGGUGAGGGUGGUCACGUACGAGCAGGUCCGGGGCUUCAUCGAGGACAAGUCCGCCCUCAUCGUGGACGUGCGUAACCCCGAGGAGCUGCGGGAGGGGGCCAUCCCCACCAGCGUCAACGUCCCUCUGGGCGAACUGGAGCACGCUCUGCGGGACCUCACGGACGAGCAGUUCCGGGCCCGGUACGGCCGUGCCAAGCCGCGCCCCACGGACAAGCUGGUGUUCUCGUGCCGCCUGGGCGGGCGAGCCGCCCAGGCCACGCAGACCGCCGCCGCGCUCGGCUACUGCAAUGUCUUCAACUACAAGGGCAGCUGGACUGAGUGGGCAGAACGGUCCAGGAAGUAGCGUCACUGCCGGAACCAACCGGAGAGAGCAGGUCUCCUUAUUCAACUUCUAUGGUUUCGUGAAAAUGUCUUGUUCUUGACCAUCUCCUUGAACUGGCUGAGGAUCCUGUUCUCCCUCUUCUGCCGCUCUUCCUUGCUGAACAUGGCCAGCGCCCGCUUCUCGUCCGCCGAGUAGAUCUGGUUCUCCUUGCGGAUACGCACCGCCUCCAUUCGCCGGUGCCUGUGCCGCACAACAGCGUCUCAACGAGAUUGUCGACAGCAAACAGUUGUACACUGAAUUUACUACCAGUCAGUUGUUUAUUUUGUCUGGGCGAAAACGUCUCGACUGCAACGCCAAUACACGCAGAGAGAGAGAGUGCAGGGAUAUCUACUGGAGAAGGAAUGCACCAUGAAAUCACAUCAGCACGAGAGAGGGAGAAAUCAGGAUGGCUACACCGGGAUUCGAACCACUCUUCUGCUUGGUUCAAUCCCAACCCCCAGCACCAAGUCAAUAUCCCAGUGGUCUGGAGCCCGCUCAACUAUGGGAGAUCUUAUCGUCUAAGCUGCGUGGUUCACAUAGUAUGAUGAGAUGAAGAAGCAAAAUAUACUUUUGUGAAUCAAAUUUAUUUAGCUGACUAAGGCUGGGUUUAUAAACUACAAGAAACGAAACAAAUCUAUAGCACAAUAUGUAACCAACGCAAGAAAUUCAUAGCUGUUUAUAAAGCACGCAAGUUACAAGACAUCACCAAACCCUUUAACUUAAAAUUGUAAAACAGUAGAAACCAAACUUCUACCCCAGGUUUCUUUUAAUGAUUCAAGUUUAUCAUGAAAACAAAAUACAUGAUAAAUAGAGUUUAAUAUGUUAAUUUCUUCAAGUAUGUGAAUGUUUAUUAAGUGAUGAUGAUAAAAAGAACAUCAUGGGCAUAACUUAUGGGUCUUUAAAAGUUUUCGGAAACAUUUAACUUCAAAAAUGGGCUGUCGGAAACACAAGCCGAAACACAAUAAAGUUGGAAGUUGAACAAUA